rnacentral:tRNA from 1 species
GAGAACAUGACUCAAUUGGUAGAGUGCUUGUCUAGUAACCAAUGAAGCUCCAUGUUCAAACCUCGGUGUUGCCC